rnacentral:rRNA from 1 species
CAGCAGCCGCGGUAAUACGAAGGGUGCAAGCGUUAAUCGGAAUUACUGGGCGUAAAGCGUGCGUAGGCGGUUUGUUAAGUCUGUUGUGAAAUCCCCGGGCUCAACCUGGGAAUGGCAAUGGAUACUGGCAAGCUAGAGUGUGUCAGAGGAUGGUGGAAUUCCCGGUGUAGCGGUGAAAUGCGUAGAGAUCGGGAGGAACAUCAGUGGCGAAGGCGGCCAUCUGGGACAACACUGACGCUGAGGCACGAAAGCGUGGGGAGCAAACAGGAUUAGAUACCCCUGUAGUCCCUGUCUCUUAUAA